rnacentral:lncRNA from 1 species
CCAGCUCCUCAAAACCUUCAGCCAUGGUUUUUCUUGAUGUGUGCAUGAUAGCAAACCCUGCCUGAGCAAAACCCUAAUCUUGUCUGUAGCACAUAAAAUCUUUUGUCUCACACCUGGUCACAUUUUGUCACUUAACUACUUAUAGUAUUUCUGAAAAUAGUAAGUUGACUACCUGUACACACUAUUUCUGUCACCCUGUCACUAUCUAUACUAUUUGCAAGCAUUGCCACCUACUACUUUUUCAAAUCUAUCAAUUAUAUAUUGAUGAGACCCACUAAUUCACCCACUUUUCUUCCUCCUCUCACUACUUUAUCUCACUACUUUAUACUUACUUUAUACACUUUUCUUAAUCUUCGUGUACAACCCAUAUGUACACUUAUCAGAGGGACGGAGGGAGUACUUAAUAAAAAAACAAAAGUGAAGCGAUCAAUCCUAAUCAAGUGUAAUUAACUCCAUCACUAUUAAGUUAUAAGUAGUUGAGCAUUUGUAAUCACAUACUUGUUUUGUUCGAGUUAUUUUUACAUAUACGUAUAUAUGAUUCAGCACUUAGAAUUACACUCUUGUUGUCUUCCAUUACACAAACAUAAACGGCCUAGAGACUUCAUUAUCUAUGAUCGGCACCAAUGACCAUCACUCAUUUGAUGUCGACUACAAGUUGCCCAUUUAAAUUUAUUUCUUUGAGAGCCCGUUUACAUUACCUUCUCAAAUUCCACAAAAUGCAAUUAACUCUUUUUUAGCAUUGUUCUAAAAAAACGUAUCAAACGAUUAAUUUUGUACUAAAUGAAUGAUUAAGCGUUUCUGAAAAUAAACGGACUAUUAAGCGGUUAUUAAACAGACUAGUAAACAAAUUAAGUGUUUUUAAAAAUUACAAAGUUAGUGUGUGAUAUAUAUACUAAUAUGCAUGUUAUUUAUAUAUACAAAAUCUAAUUUUUAAGCAAAAUGAACUAAUUAAUAUUUCCUCUGUUAGAAUAUAUUAGUCUCUUGAAUUUUUUCCACCUAUUUUUAGGACCUUGACCGCAUAAAAAGUGAUUUAAAAAAAGAUAUUUAUUAAUAUACCGUCAAAUGUCAAAAAAUAUAUGAAGAAAAAGUCAAGCGACUUAUAUAUUUUAACAAUGAGCAUUCCGCUUCACAUAAUUUUGUUAUCAAAACAUGGACUGAUAUGGAAUGACCCGGGUUCCCCGGACCCGGGGCCNGCGACUACUCGGAUCCACUCAGCCGGGGAAGCAAAAACAAAAACAAAAACUGCACUUUACUCCCUCACAUAGAUAAUCUAUAUAAGGGAGUGGGGGGCAAAUGAUAGGGUGUUACCCGGUUACGACCGGACCCGGGUCCUAUAAAGGGGCUCCCACCCCCGAUAGCCUCCAGCCCCGAGAGGCGCCCUCUACGCUCCACAUAACCCGGGUACAGCAAAACCCAUUACUUACCCGGGUGCAUAUGUACCAGCCGACACUUGCUGCACAAGGCACAGACUGACACGAUAAAGACAAACAUAACGGUCAACUACUGGCGAUAGAGACAAGCCAAGGAACAUUCCAAAAUACUACUCCUACGCUGACACCUGGACACGUGUAGGGGAUCAAACCUCUACACGUGUAGGACCAGGAUUCAGGUACGCGUCCCUAAACCCUAAUCCUUGGCCUAUAAAUAGACCAAGGACCAAGGGCUUAAGGGUUACACUCUUUUUACACUCAUUCAUACACACACUUGCACUCAGCAUAUACUCAAACACUCUCAGCCACCAGCAACCACCAGCCAAACACCUUCACCCACCAUACAUAGAUAACACUUUCUCUUAUCUUUAUCCUUCCGAAACCCACGCUUACUCUCACGCCGGAGGCGCUUUGGGGCCAAACCCCCCCGCCGGCGUUGUUUUGUAGGCUCCCAUCCAGCAGCUACACCACGGAACCACCAGUCACGGCGGAGGAAGGACCGGGAUCGGAGAUUGGCGUUAUCAUUUGGCGCUAGAAGGAGGGGAAGGUGUCCUCUGUCCUGUGGUCACGGUGCCACUGGACUCAUCUUCUUCAACAAACCCCCGAAACGGGGGUCCGAAUCACACCAGUAAGCUUUCAUAAAACACCCAGCUCCUCAAAACCUUCAGCCAUGGCUUUUCUUGAUAUGUGCAUGAUAGAAAACCUCACCUGACCAAAACCCUAAAUUUGUCUGUAGUAGAGCAUGAUAGCAAACCCUGUCUGAGCAAAACCCUAAUCUUGUCUGUAGCACAUAAAAUCUUUUUGUCUCACACCUGCACACAUUUUGUCACUUAACUAUUUGUGGUAUCUCUGAAAAUAGUAAGUUGACUACUUGUGCACACUAUUUUUGUCAUCCUGUCACUAUCUAUACUAUUUGUGGGCACUACCACC